CAAUGUUGACAGUACCACAGGCUCCCGGAGAGCAAACCUUCCAGUCCCUCUGUGUUUCCUGCCACUGCUCUGUACCUGGAUCGCUGCUUGGUGCACAGGCAGCAUGCGCUGUCUUCAGGACCUGCUUCCUCAGGAGAGUUUAUCCUGGGUUAACCUUACCCAGGUUGUCUCCCUUGGAAGCCCUUGAAGGUACAGACACUGGUGACUCAGGCUUUGGAACUCUCCCAAGAGAGUGAAUCUUCUGAGCUUCACGGAGGGAGGGAAGGGAGAGGGCGCAGUUGUGCAGCGUGUGGCUGGCUAGGUCUCUUGGCCCCCCGGGGCGGUGGCGGCCGCUUUGUCGCCUGCUGGCUGGAGAGCAACCUUGAGCGCGGGGCAGACAGACAGUGAUUUAGGUGCCCGCACUGGAGCGUGAAGAACUUCUGGGCUUGGGGGUGUGGCUCAGCAGGUGAAGGUGCUCACAGCAUCCAAGUCGACCCACGUGACGGAAGGUGUGCAAACUUCUCAGAAGAUUGUCCUUUGGCCUCCACAGCCACAGUGGGAUGUGUGCACACCAUACACAUACACAAAACAAAUAAAUGGAAAUUAAAAGU
rnacentral:lncRNA from 1 species